rnacentral:misc_RNA from 1 species
GAUGAAGAAUGCAGCGAAAUGCGAUAAGUAAUGUGAAUUGCAGAAUUCAGUGAAUCAUCGAAUCUUUGAACGCACCUUGCGCCCUUUGGACAUUCCGAAGGGCAUGCCUGUUUGAGUAUCAUGAACACCUCAACUCUCACGGCUUGUCCGUGAUGAGCUUGGACUUUGGGGGUCUUGCCGGCCUGUGGUCGGCUCCUCUCAAAUGGAUCAGCUUGCCAGUGUUUGGUGGCAUCACAGGUGUGAUAACUAUCUGCGCUUGUGGUUUUCCAUCAGAUAACCUUCAGUGAUAUGGAGGUUCGCUGGAGCUCACAAAUGUCUCUCCUUAGUGAGGACAGCUCUUUGAACGUUUGAUCUCAAAUCAGGUAGGACUACCCGCUGAACUUAAGCAUAUCAAUAAGCGGAGGA